UCGCACCAAGCAGACGGCCCGCAA
rnacentral:piRNA from 1 species